CCUACGGGAGGCAGCAGUUGGGAAUCUUGCACAAUGGGGGAAACCCUGAUGCAGCGACGCCGCGUGGAGGAUGAAGGGUCUAGGCUCGUAAACUCCUUUUAUCAGGAAAGACUUAGGACGGUACCUGAUGAAUAAGCACCGGCUAACUACGUGCCAGCAGCCGCGGUAAGACGUAGGGUGCAAGCGUUGUCCGGAUUUACUGGGCGUAAAGAGCGCGUAGGCGGUCCGUUAAGUGUGAAGUGAAAUCUCCAGGGCUCAACCCGGAAACUGCUUUACAUACUGGCGGACUAGAGGGAUGGAGAGGUUUGUGGAAUUCCUAGUGUAGCGGUGAAAUGCGUAGAUAUUAGGAGGAACACCCAUGGCGAAGGCAGCAAACUGGCCAUCAUCUGACGCUGAGGCGCGAAAGCGUGGGUAGCAAACAGGAUUAGAUACCCUGGUAGUCCACGCCCUAAACGAUGGAUACUAGGCGUAAGAGGUAUCGACCCCUCUUGUGCCGCAGACUACGACAUUAAGUAUCCGUCCGUCGGGACGUACGGCCGCCGACGGUUAGUAACGUACAAACGGAAGUUAGUACGGCGUGAGACGUGCCGACGGACGACGACGAGGGAGUAGG
rnacentral:rRNA from 1 species